rnacentral:rRNA from 1 species
UACGGAGGGGGCGAGCGUUAUUCGGAAUUAUUGGGCGUAAAGGGCGCGUAGGCGGCCCGGUAAGUCAAAGGUGAAAUCCCUCGGCUCAACUGAGGAACUGCCUUUGAAACUGUCGGGCUUGAGGCCGGGAGGGGGUAGUGGAAUUCCGAGUGUAGAGGUGAAAUUCGUAGAUAUUCGGAAGAACACCAGUGGCGAAGGCGACUCACUGGACGACUGUUGACGCUGAGGUGCGAAAGCGUGGGGAGCAAACAGG